rnacentral:rRNA from 1 species
GUAGUCAUAUGCUGUGUUAAAGAUUAAGCCAUGCAUGUCUAAGUAUAGGUGGAUAAGAAACCGAAACUGCGGAUGGCUCAAUAAAUCAGUCAUAAUUAAUUUGGUGAUGAUUUUCUUUUAUUUGGAUAACCCUGUUAAUUGUAGAGCUAAUACAUGAAUAAGAAAACAAAAUACCUCCAUAUUUUGUUUGCCUUUGUCAAUGCUCAAAAAAGAAAAACUUUUUUCCUUUUUAUUUUUUCGAAUAGAGUACCCGACUGCCUAGGAAGCAAGAAAUGGAUAAAAACCGAUCUUUUGAGUGUAAUAAGGAGGCGAUGUUGGGAUUUCUUAUUUGAGGGAAUUAGGCAGCAUAAUGAAUAAUGACAAAAAGACGAAACGGGAUUUAUGUCCCGUUUUUUAGCGAAUUGCAGUAAAAACAGAACUUUAGUUUUGUUGGCAAUGUACCAAACGAAAGACUGACCUAUCAAGUGGGGGAUGGUAAGAUAGGGGCUUACCAGGCUGAUAACGGGUAACGGGGAAUUAGGGUUCGAUUCCGGAGAGGGAGCCUGAGAAAUGGCUACCACUUCCAAGGAAGGCAGCAGGCGCGUAAAUUACUCGGUGCCGGGACGGCGAGGUAGUGACGACAAAUACCGAUGUUUCCAGUUACUUUUGUAAUUGGCGAUUGGAAUGAGCGCACGGCAAAGAUGUGCGGGAGUAACAAUUGGAGGGCAAGUCUGGUGCCAGCAGCCGCGGUAAUUCCAGCUCCAAGAGUGUAUACUAAAGCUGUUGCGGUUAAAAAGCUCGUGGUUAAUUUUUAACGGCGGAAAAUGGAAAUAAUUUAUUAUUUCCAUUUUCUCGCGUAUAAUCACAUUUUAUGUGAUUUAAUUUAGAUUACCUUUAAAAGUAUUUAAGUAUACAAAGAAUUAUUCUUUUUAAAGGUACUAGAUGGAUUACUUUGAAUAAAAUAGAGUGUUUAAGGCAAGGAAGAUAUUUCCUGUGAAUAUUAUUAGCAUGGGAUAAUGGCGAUAUGUCUAAUUUCGUUGGGGUAAAAAUGCGUGUUAAAUGGAUGGCGGACCUUUUAAUUGGUUUUUAAGGGUUCGGAUGAAUAACAAUACUUGUAUUGUUGUUAUCAGUUUAGAUCAAUUCCAUUACAAAAAAUAACCCUGACAUUUUUUAGUUUUUUAGACAUGGAAUAGAAACAAAUGGGGUGGUUUAUAUUUCAUAGCGAGGGAUAAAAUCCUGUGACCUGUGAAAGAUAGACAAGAGCGAAAGCAUUCCACAAAAAUGUUUUCAUGUGAUCAAGAACGAAAGUUGGGGGAUCGAAGACGAUCAGAUACCGUCGUAGUCUCAACUAUAAACUAUGCCGACCAGGGAUUGGAAAAGAAAAAGCACGGUUAUCCGUGUUUAUUUCGAAUUAUUUAAAACGACAAUUUGGCGUUUUAAAAUAGACUUCUCCAGCACCUAAGAGAGAAAUCGAGUGAGUGUAUGGGCUUCGGGGGGAGUGUGGUCGCAAGGCUGAAACUUAAAGGAAUUGACGGGAGGGCACACCAGGAGUGGAGCCUGCGGCUUAAUUUGACUCAACACGGGGAAACUUACCAGGGCCAGAUAGCAGGAGGAUUGACAGCACAUUUAUUUAUUGAGAGCUCUUUCUUGAUUUGUUAGGUGGUGGUGCAUGGUCGUUCUUAGUUGGUGGUGUGAAUUGUCUGGUUAAUUCCGAUAACGAACGAGACCUUAACUCGUUAACUACGGGAAACCGGUUUUUCUCACGAAAUCCGGUUAUUCCUUCUUAAAAGGACUAUCUAUGUUUUUUACAACUAAUAGAUGGAAGUUUGAGGCAAUAACAGGUCUGUGAUGCCCUUCGAUGCUCUGGGCCGCACGCGCGCUACAAUGAUGAACGCAACGAGUAAUUACACGCAUUUCGCGUGUUAUUCCUUUUUCGAAAGAAAUGGGGAAUCUUUUGAAUGUUCAUCAAGCUGGGGAUAGACCAUUGGAAUUGUUGGUCUUGAACGAGGAAUUCCUAGUAAGCGCAAGUCAUCAGCUUGCGUUGAUUACGUCCCUGCCCUUUGUACACACUGCCCGUCGCUCCUACCGAUCGGAUGAUCCGGUGAAAAUGAUGGAUAGAGAGGACACUCGUGUUUUUUUUAGAAAACAUUUGAACCUUAUUAUCUAGAGGAAGGAGAAGUCGUAACAAGGUAUCCGUAGGUGAACCUG